rnacentral:lncRNA from 1 species
CAGCUUCUCUGACGUAGGUGGAUUUUUGCACCAACAAGAUUGGCGCUAGAGGAAGGGGGUGUGUCUUCGCAGUACCCUUGUUCUUAAAGAAGCGCUCAACGGGACCGCCUCCGGCCAUCUUUUUUGACAUCCUCUCCUCCUUCCCCCACUAGAUCUUCACCCGAUGCUUCCCUGCAAAGCAUCCGCACGACAACCCACGGCCUCC